rnacentral:rRNA from 1 species
UACGGGGGGGGCAAGCGUUGUUCGGAAUUACUGGGCGUAAAGGGCGCGUAGGCGGCCUUCUAAGUCGAACGUGAAAUCCCCGGGCUCAACCCGGGAACUGCGUCCGAUACUGGAAGGCUUGAAUCCGGGAGAGGGAUGCGGAAUUCCAGGUGUAGCGGUGAAAUGCGUAGAUAUCUGGAGGAACACCGGUGGCGAAGGCGGCCAACUGGCCCGAUACUGACGCUGAGGCGCGAAAGCGUGGGGAGCAAACAGG